rnacentral:rRNA from 1 species
GACGGAGGGCGCGAGCGUUGUCCGGAAUCACUGGGCGUAAAGCGCGCGCAGGCGGACUCGUGCGUCGGGAGUGAAAGCCCGGGGCUCAACCCCGGAGCUGCUCUUGAUACUGUUUGUCUAGGGACCGGUAGGGGCCGGUGGAAUUCCCGGUGUAGCGGUGGAAUGCGUAGAGAUCGGGAAGAACACCCGUGGCGAAGGCGGCCGGCUGGGCCGGAUCCGACGCUGAGGCGCGAAAGCGUGGGGAGCAAACAGG